UGGGGAAUUUUGGACAAUGGGCGAAAGCCUGAUCCAGCAAUGCCGCGUGCAGGAUGAAGGCCUUCGGGUUGUAAACUGCUUUUGUACGGAACGAAAAAGCUUCUCCUAAUACGAGAGGCCCAUGACGGUACCGUAAGAAUAAGCACCGGCUAACUACGUGCCAGCAGCCGCGGUAAUACGUAGGGUGCGAGCGUUAAUCGGAAUUACUGGGCGUAAAGCGUGCGCAGGCGGUUAUGUAAGACAGAUGUGAAAUCCCCGGGCUCAACCUGGGAACUGCAUUUGUGACUGCAUGGCUAGAGUACGGUAGAGGGGGAUGGAAUUCCGCGUGUAGCAGUGAAAUGCGUAGAUAUGCGGAGGAACACCGAUGGCGAAGGCAAUCCCCUGGACCUGUACUGACGCUCAUGCACGAAAGCGUGGGGAGCAAACAGGAUUAGAUACCCCUGGUAGUCCACGCCCCUAAACGAUGUCAACUGGUUGUUGGGGAAUUAGUUUUCUCAGUAACGAAGCUAACGCGUGAAGUUGACCGCCUGGGGAGUACGGCCGCAAGGUUGAAACUUAAAUGAAUU
rnacentral:rRNA from 1 species